AACGAACGCUGGCGGCAUGCCUAACACAUGCAAGUCGAACGAGACCUUCGGGUCUAGUGGCGCACGGGUGCGUAACGCGUGGGAACCUGCCCUUAGGUUCGGAAUAACUCCCCGAAAGGGGUGCUAAUACCGGAUAAUGUCUUCGGACCAAAGAUUUAUCGCCUUUGGAUGGGCCCGCGUUGGAUUAGCUAGUUGGUAGGGUAAAAGCCUACCAAGGCGACGAUCCAUAGCUGGUCUGAGAGGAUGAUCCGCCACACUGGGACUGAGACACGGCCCAGACUCCUACGGGAGGGAGGAGUGGGGAAUAUUGGACAAUGGGCGAAGGCCUGAUACAGCAAUGCCGCGUGAGUGAUGAAGGCCUUAGGGUUGUAAAGCUCUUUUACCCGGGAUGAUAAUGACAGUACCGGGAGAAUAAGCACCGGCUAACUCCGUG
rnacentral:rRNA from 1 species